UCCGGGGUCGUCUAAUGGUAGGACAGCGGUUUUUGGAGCCGCCUGUAGGGGUUCGAAUCCUCUCCCCGGAG
rnacentral:tRNA from 1 species